rfam:Blumeria graminis f. sp. hordei DH14, WGS project CATH01000000 data, contig: 001668
GGGCGCUUGGUCUAGGGGUAUGAUUUUCGUUUCGCAACACACUGCAUCUACGAAAGGUCAUGGGUUCAAUUCCCAUAGUGUCCA